rnacentral:rRNA from 1 species
CCCACCCACGGACCAAGGAGUCUAACACGUGCGCGAGUCGCAGGGUAGUACGAAACCCGAAGGCGCAACGAAAGUGAACCUUUUCUUACGAAUCGGUAGGUGGGAUCCCGGACCGAAUCCCGCUCGCGGGAAGAAUGGGCGCACCACCGGCCUGUCUCGGCCGCGACGUCGGCGAGGCGGAGCAAGAGCGUACGCGUUGGGACCCGAAAGAUGGUGAACUAUGCCUGAGCAGGAUGAAGCCAGAAGAAAUUCUGGUGGAGGUCCGCAGCGAUUCUGACGUGCAAAUCGAUCGUCAAACUUGGGUAUAGGGGCGAAAGACUAAUCGAACCAUCUAGUAGCUGGUUCCCGUCGAAGUUUCCCUCAGGAUAGCUGGCGCUCAUUGGAUAAGCAGUUUUAUCCGGUAAAGCGAAUGAUUAGAGGCCUUGGGGACGUACAGACCUCAACCUAUUCUCAAACUUUAAAUGGGUAAGACGUCCGUCUCGCUUGAUUGGAGUCGGGCUGUUCGAAUGCGAGUGCCAAGUGGGCCAUUUUUGGUAAGC